rnacentral:rRNA from 1 species
GUCGAGCGGACAGAAGGGAGCUUGCUCCCGGAUGUUAGCGGCGGACGGGUGAGUAACACGUGGGUAACCUGCCUGUAAGACUGGGAUAACUCCGGGAAACCGGAGCUAAUACCGGAUAGUUCCUUGAACCGCAUGGUUCAAGGAUGAAAGACGGUUUCGGCUGUCACUUACAGAUGGACCCGCGGCGCAUUAGCUAGUUGGUGGGGUAAUGGCUCACCAAGGCGACGAUGCGUAGCCGACCUGAGAGGGUGAUCGGCCACACUGGGACUGAGACACGGCCCAGACUCCUACGGGAGGCAGCAGUAGGGAAUCUUCCGCAAUGGACGAAAGUCUGACGGAGCAACGCCGCGUGAGUGAUGAAGGUUUUCGGAUCGUAAAGCUCUGUUGUUAGGGAAGAACAAGUGCGAGAGUAACUGCUCGCACCUUGACGGUACCUAACCAGAAAGCCACGGCUAACUACGUGCCAGCAGCCGCGGUAAUACGUAGGUGGCAAGCGUUGUCCGGAAUUAUUGGGCGUAAAGGGCUCGCAGGCGGUUUCUUAAGUCUGAUGUGAAAGCCCCCGGCUCAACCGGGGAGGGUCAUUGGAAACUGGGAAACUUGAGUGCAGAAGAGGAGAGUGGAAUUCCACGUGUAGCGGUGAAAUGCGUAGAGAUGUGGAGGAACACCAGUGGCGAAGGCGACUCUCUGGUCUGUAACUGAC